rnacentral:tRNA from 1 species
CGGGCCAGAGCUGGGUUGGUUAGGCGUCUCAUUUGGGUUGAGAAUUAGUUAUGUUCGAAUCAUAAUGACCCGA